UACGUAGGGUGCGAGCGUUAAUCGGAAUUACUGGGCGUAAAGCGUGCGCAGGCGGUUCGCUGUGUCCGAUGUGAAAGCCCCGGGCUUAACCUGGGAAUGGCACUGGAAACUGGCGGGCUUGAGUGUGGCAGAGGGGGGUGGAAUUCCGCGUGUAGCAGUGAAAUGCGUAGAGAUGCGGAGGAACACCGAUGGCGAAGGCAGCCCCCUGGGCUAACACUGACGCUCAGGCACGAAAGCGUGGGGAGCAAACAGG
rnacentral:rRNA from 1 species